rnacentral:rRNA from 1 species
UACGUAGGUGGCAAGCGUUUGUCCGGAGUUAUUGGGCGUAAAGCGCGCGCAGGCGGUCCUUUAAGUCUGAUGUGAAAGCCCACGGCUCAACCGUGGAGGGUCAUUGGAAACUGGGGGACUUGAGUGCAGAAGAGGAAAGCGGAAUUCCACGUGUAGCGGUGAAAUGCGUAGAGAUGUGGAGGAACACCAGUGGCGAAGGCGGCUUUCUGGUCUGUAACUGACGCUGAGGCGCGAAAGCGUGGGGAGCAAACAGG